rnacentral:rRNA from 1 species
CAGUAGCCGCGGUAAUACGGAGGGGGCUAGCGUUAUUCGGAAUUACUGGGCGUAAAGCGCACGUAGGCGGAUCAGAAAGUCAGAGGUGAAAUCCCAGGGCUCAACCUUGGAACUGCCUUUGAAACUCCUGAUCUUGAGGUCGAGAGAGGUAAGUGGAAUUCCGAGUGUAGAGGUGAAAUUCGUAGAUAUUCGGAGGAACACCAGUGGCGAAGGCGGCUCACUGGCUCGAUACCGACGCUGAGGUGCGAAAGCGUGGGGAGCAAACAGGAUUAGAUACCCGGGUAGUCCCUGUCUCUUAUAA